CAGCAAAUACUACUGGUAAUAUAUUUUUCCAUAAUUGAAUUUGAUAAUUACAGAGGUAGGUAGGCACUGAAAAUAACUUAAGUGUUGCUUAUCAGGUUAAAACAUUCCGAACUACAAAUACAAGUGCAAGUCCGCACCUUUUAAUUAGACUUAACCUUACCUUAAGGAAUUCUGAACUUCAAAAGGGCCAACGGAGCGGAGCCAUUACCUUGAACCACAUACCGAAUGGUUAAUGGGGAACUAUCGCACCUCACGCAAUCGCUAAUCAAUAGGAGAUAAGCUGUCGAUAUCAAAGAAUAGCCCCAAAUGUGUCGGCCAUCGGUAAAAAAUGUCGUAUGCUUAUGUAUGUGUGCGUGUUUUAUUCUUUUCGGCAGUUCCUGAAGUGGAUGAGUCACCCGUUGUGGCCGUUGCCGUGAUCGGCCCAUUUUUUGCCCAGUGCCUGAUCGCGUGCCUGCUGACGUAGAACCUUGCCGCUUCCAGUUUUUGGCAGUUCGGGCAGGAAGAA